rnacentral:ncRNA from 1 species
UUUUCUCUGGUAAAGUGAAUGAUUAGAGAUCUUAGGGCCAAAACGAUCUCAACCUAUUCUCAAACUUUAAAUGAAGAUGA